GCAAACUUGGUCAUUUAGAGGAAGUAAAAGUCGUAACAAGGUCUCCGUUGGUGAACCAGCGGAGGGAUCAUUACCGAGUUUACAACUCCCAAACCCCGAUGUGAACCUCUACCUAAUCGUUGCCUCGGCGGGAUCGCCCCGGCGCGCCCCCCAGGGCGUCCGGAUCACCUGGCGCCCGCCGCAGGACCCCCAAACUCUCUUGCAUCUCCGGCGUCGUUUUUCUUCUGAGUGGACCUUUUUCCUCGCGAGAGCGAGGUGAAAAUGAAUCAAAACUUUCAACAACGGAUCUCUUGGCUCUGGCAUCGAUGAAGAACGCAGC
rnacentral:misc_RNA from 1 species